UACGGGGGGAGCAAGCGUUGUUCGGAUUUACUGGGCGUAAAGGGCGCGUAGGCGGCCACCGCAAGUCGGUUGUGAAAUCUCCGGGCUUAACCCGGAACGGUCAAUCGAUACUGCGGGGCUAGAGUGCAGAAGAGGCAACUGGAAUUCUCGGUGUAGCGGUGAAAUGCGUAGAUAUCGAGAGGAACACCUGCGGCGAAGGCGGGUUGCUGGGCUGACACUGACGCUGAGGCGCGAAAGCUAGGGGAGCGAACGGG
rnacentral:rRNA from 1 species